UACGUAGGGGGCAAGCGUUGUCCGGAUUUAUUGGGCGUAAAGAGCGUGUAGGCGGCUAGGUAGGUCCGUUGUGAAAACUCGGAGCUCAACCCUCCGAGACGCCGGUGGAAACCAUCGUAGCUAGAGUCCGGAAGAGGAGAGUGGAAUUCCUGGUGUAGCGGUGAAAUAACGCAGAUAUCAGGAAGAACACCCGUGGCGAAGGCGGCUCUCUGGGACGUGACUGACGCUGAGACGCGAAAGCGUGGGGAGCAAACAGG
rnacentral:rRNA from 1 species